rnacentral:ncRNA from 1 species
UUCGUUAGAACACUACCUAAGGCGCUCGUUGCAACGGCGAGUGCACAGAAAGUCCGCCACGCCGGCAGCGGGCCUUCGCAGGCAGACAUUUUCUGCCCGGCCUUGCCACAAGGCCAACGGGACAUAACAGUCAAC